rnacentral:rRNA from 1 species
AACGAACGCUGGCGGCAGGCCUAACACAUGCAAGUCGAGCGGACCUUCGGGUUAGCGGCGGACGGGUGAGUAACGCGUGGGAAUAUGCCUUGGGGUGCGGAACAACAACUGGAAACGGUUGCUAAUACCGCAUGAUGUCUUCGGACCAAAGAUUUAUCGCCCCAAGAUUGGCCCGCGUUGGAUUAGGUAGUUGGUGAGGUAAAGGCUCACCAAGCCGACGAUCCAUAGCUGGUUUGAGAGGAUGAUCAGCCACACUGGGACUGAGACACGGCCCAGACUCCUACGGGAGGCAGCAGUGGGGAAUCUUGGACAAUGGGGAAACCCUGAUCCAGCCAUGCCGCGUGAGCGAUGACGGCCUUAGGGUUGUAAAGCUCUUUCACCGGUGACGAUAAUGACGGUAGCCGGAGAAGAAGCCCCGGCUAACUCCGUGCCAGCCGCCGCGGUAAU